GUUUUUAAUAACCAUGGCUUUUAGACACCUCUUCUUCAGAUGAUGAUCCCAAGCCUUCUGGCGAUCUCCNCUUCUUCAGAUGAUGAUCCCAAGCCUUCUGGCGAUCUCUUAUAAAGAAAGCCCUCCAUAAUAAAUUGAAAAGGGUCCUUUGGGGAAAAGUUUUCCCUUUGAUAAGAUGAAGCCGGGGAAGGUUUUCCGGUUUACUCCCGGAGGGCUUGUAGCUCAGUUGGUUAGAGCGCGCGCUUGAUAAGCGUGAGGUCGGAGGUUCAAGUCCUCCCAGGCCCACCAAUCAUUCUAUCAAUCUAUAAGCGCUUGUGGAAAUUGCUCAUAGAAAACUUUCUUUAUUCAUUUAUGAAAAAUCUCCUUAUAGAGAUAGAGAGAGACGCUUUUCCCUUUGGGUUUGAAAACUCAAGAUUACAGGUGUUAAAGUGGCUUUCAUCGGAAAAUGAUCCCGAACCAUGAGUCGGGGGCGGGAGUUGUCCGCAUCCCAGCUGGGCAGCUGGAGGAUACNGAAUGCCGCAUGUUUUUUAGGGGGGCCGUAGCUCAGCUGGGAGAGCACCUGCUUUGCAAGCAGGGGGUCGUCGGUUCAA
rnacentral:misc_RNA from 1 species